CAGUGCGGGAUCUAGGAGGCCCCCAAACCGCCCGCUCUUUUCUGUGGCUGCUCAGGCCCGCCGAGCCUCUUCUGCGGCUGCGCAGGCUCCGCCCGGGUCCUUCGGCGCCUGCGUGGUCCGAGAGCCUGAUCCUGAGAUGCAGAAACUAAUUUCAACUCCAGUUUGCUGCUACCCCGCCCCCCACCGCCCAUGCAUGUCAUCGAACUGGUAGAAAACCCGGCAGAUGCCAUCUCAACUGAAUGAUCACGAUGAGUAAUAUGGUAAGUCACGUUAUCCUGCACGGGGCUUCGCCCCUGUGGUAUUUUCCCCUCAAACCCGUAAGCCCUGUCUAAUCAGGAGAAAACAACAGAUAAGCCCAAAAUGAGAGACAGUCUACAAAAUACCUGACCAGUACUCCUCAAAACUGCCAAGAUCGUGAAAAGCAAGGACAAACUAAGAAACUGUCACAGAGUGGACCAGGUUCAGGGCACAUGGUUAGGAAAUGCAAUCCUGGCUUGGAUCUUGGAGGAGAAAAAGGACGUUAGUGAGAAAACUGGAGAAGUCUGACUAGAAUUUAUAGUUUGGUUAGUAACAUUGUACCCAUGUUAAUUUUGUGUUUUUGACAGUUGUACCGUGGUUAUAUAAGAUGGUAACAUUAGGGAGACUGGAUGAAGAGUCUGCAGGAAGUCUGGCAUAGUGCUGGAGAUUGGGAUGGUCCUGCAAAGGAGGAUUGACUCUAAAGGGCACAAGGGAAUUUUUUAGAGUGAUAGGAAUGUUAUAUAUUUUGAUUGUGGUGGUGGUUAUAUAGACAUACACAUCUGUCAAAACUCAUCAAACUGUACAUUUAAAAUAAUUUUUUUGCUUGUAAAUUAUACCUCGAGGAAGUAGGGUUUUUUUAAUUUUUAAAAUCUAAAUUUUAAUUUUAAAUUUAAAAAAAUUCAAAUCCAUUUUUAAGUUACGGCCAUACAUUAAAGCCUUCAAUGGCUUCCCAUGACACAUAAAACCCCAAAUCCUAACUUGGCCUACAGAGCUCUGGUGUCUGUGAACCACCCCACCACACCAAGUGUGGUCUCACCUCAGGACAUUUGCACUUACAGCCCCCUCCACCUGGAGUGCUCUGCCCCCAGAUCUUGUCAAGCCUGGCUCCCAGGUGUCAAUAAAAUCUCAGCUCAAUGGACCCCUCCUCAGAGAAGCCUACCCGGAGCUCCUGGGGCUCUCUCUCUCUCUCUCUCUCUCUCAUUACCCUGCUUUGUCAUCCCCAUCCCUAUAGCAUUGGCCUACAUAACUUCUUCCCACUGAAAAAAUUCAAAAUAGAUUGUAUGGUUUUGCACCAAGAAGCACUGAGAAGCGGCGCCUCCUUCUUUUUCUCGUUUUUACACCAUGACACUCACAAAGACCAUGACUGAGAUGUUGGGCAUGCGUGAUUCUGAAUACGAUUCUGGGUGGGCCUGAGACUCCCGAAGAGAAGGGAAGCCAUGAGGAAAUGAUUCCCAUUUCCACACAUGAGGACCAGGACAUAUGAGGACUUCAUAACACAAUAAAGCAAUGCUCUGCCUCACAUCCUUAGUUAUUUAAAGACCGAUUCAAUAAGUUGCAUUUAGAGACUCUUUAGGGAAAUAAAGAAGAGAUUUGGUCUAGCAGGAUUCAAAUGCAGUCGGUAAGCCCAGCACCCAAGGAGCAGAGGAACAGCUCCUGGCCCAGCCCGCCCCACCUGGGCACAGAUCAAAGCUGAUAGCUGGAGUCUGUUCCAGUUUCCAAGGAGUGUGCUCUUUAUAGCCCCCUGGAGCCAUACCUGGGUGUGGGCAGCAUCAGACGCUGGCUGAAGCUUGACUCAGCUUCUGUAAUUACCUAUUUUGGUGGGAAGCCAACGGCUGGGGCACCUGCUCUAGAAGCUGGAGUUUUUCUAUGUUGGUAUGAAUCCCUAGACCUGACAGCACAGUGCAGCCCUGCAAAUCUGAGCACCAUAUCUUCAGGUGGCAGAGCCGGCUAAAGAAAUUCCAAGUCCCAAUUCUACAGUCGUGGCAUUUCCCAGUCGGAAAGGGCAGAGAGAUCACCAGCCCCAGCUUCUGACCAUCCAGCCCCUAUUUGAAUACUUCCCAUGAUUGAGAUGCCCACAGCUCACAUGGAGGCCAUUACUUUUAAACACGACUCUCAGAAAUCUCUCACUGACAUUAUGUGCAUAAAUAUUUUUAUAUGUUAUACAUAUAUAUCUUUUAUAUAAACUUACAUAAAUAGUCUCUUACUCAUUAUAUUAGACUGACCUACGUAUCAGUCUCUCUGUAGAAACAGACAGAUUGACUACAUGACCUUUGGGGUAUUUGAAGAUGUAUCAUCUUCCCUCCGUGGCUUCUUUAUGCCAAACACCCCCAGGUGGACCCUUCAAGGGUUCCUUGGGGUGUGUGUGUUGGGGAUGGGCGUGGAAUUCCUAGUUCCCAUACCCACCAGGGCACACUUUACCAUGACUCCGUGCUUGAGGAGACUGCAGACGUAAUAUAUUUUGAGCCCUACCCGCUCCCCACCCCCCCCACCACACACACACACAGAAGUCCUUUCCCUCACUUGUGGAAUUUUCCAGCAGUGACACCAGGGAAACAAAGAUCAGGGCUAUUGUUUGAAAAAUAGACAAAAGCAAACUGGCCAAGGUACAAAGGCUUGACGGGACACAGAGUCAUGCUCAGCCAGGAUUGUGAGAAACUUAACCAAGAGACUAUUAACAGAGGUGUGGGCAGGACUUAGGAAACCAACACGGGAUAAGGAGGCAGCCAUGACUACCUGUCAUGGGCUGAAUUGUGUCCCCCGACCACCACCAAAAAAAAAAAAAAAAAAAGGUAUGUUGGAGACCUAACCCUCAGGACCUCAUAAUGUGACCUUAUUUGGAGAGGGUCUUUGCAGAGAUAAUCAAGUUAAGAGAGGUGGUUAUAGUAUCAUAAUCUGUAUGACUGGUGUCCUUAUAAAAGGGGGAAAUUUGGAUACAGACACACACACACAGAGAAAGCCAUGUAAAGAGAUGAAGGCAGAGAUCAGGGUGAUGCUUCUAUAAGCCAAGGAGUACCGAAGAUGGCCAGCGCACUCCCAAGAAGCCAGGGGAACCCCUCUCAUGGCCCUCAGAAGGAACCAGUCCUACAGAGACCUUGGUGUCAGACUUCUAGCCUCCAGAACUGUAAGAGAAUAAAUUUGCUAUUUAAGCCACCAGUCUAUGGUGCAUUGCUAUGGCAACGCUGGGAAACUAACACACCACCCCUAACCUUCUCCAGAGAAGAGAGCUGCGUCCCAGGAGCACCUGGCUGGAGCUGCAUUCACAGAGGUGGCAGAGCCAGGAGGAAUGAAGAGCCUCACCACUCUCUCCUCCUACCCUCCAGCCCCCUGCGUGGCCUAAGCCAGUGGAAGCCCGCAGGCAAGGGAGGUGGGAGAAAGUGCCUGGAGGGGCUCACUGUCCACACCUCUUACACCUAUCUGGGUAUCCCCUCCGCAGAUACAGCAGGAAGGGAAGUCAGGAGAGCCUGAUCCAACACUUUCAUCUGACCUCCUCCUUCCCCAGGAGGGAGUGUGACAAUGCAGUCAUUAUAAUGCAGAAUCGACAGUCCAAUUGGAGGAUGUGGAUUCUCAGUCUCACGUGCCUGCGGAAUACAGGGCUGCUGCCUGUGACAUCACUGCUGUCUUGUGCUUCCACUCGUGCACCCCAACCGCUUUAGAACAAUGGCUUCUUGAAAGAUUUUAUUACUGAAUAGGUAAUACUUUGAUAUCGUAUCCAAUUAAAAGAUGCAAAAGCACAAACACGAAGAUGUGGAGAAAUCGGAACCUUCGUGCCCUGUCGGUGGGACUGCAAAACGGGGUGCAGGCGCUGUGGAAAGCCGUAUGAUGAUUCCUCAAAAAAUUGAAAGGAGAACCACAAUAUGCUCCAGAAAUUCCACUUCUGGGGAUUAUACCCAAAGGAGCUGAAAACAGGCACUCAAACAGCUACCUGUACGCCAGUGUUCAGACAGCAUUAUUCACAACAGCCAAACAGUCCCAGUAGCUACCAGUAGACGAAUGGAUAAAUCGGUAAAAUUCCUACCGUGGAAUAGUAUUCAGCCAUAAAAAGUACCGCAUCCAUGCUUCCACGUGGAGGAGGCUUGAAGGUAUUAAGCCAAGUGAAAUGAGGCAGACCCAAAAGGACAACUAUUGUAUGAUUCCACUCACAUGGGAUACACGAAUAGGCAAAUAUAUCGAGACAGAGGUUCCAGGGGGAGGGGGCGGAGGAGGCGGAGUGAGGAGUUAUUGUUUAACAGGAUGAGGAAAAAGUCCUGGACACAGACGGUGGUGACAGUUGACCCCGUGAAUGUGCCUAAUGCCACCGAAUUGGAUAUUUUAAAAUGGUUAAAAAGGUAAGAUUUAAGUUAUGUGUAUUUUGUCACAGUACAAAAGAGUGUAUUUUUAAAGAGGACGCAACGAAAAGGAAGUCCCCCUCCUGCCGCAGUCCUUGCCAUACAACCCCCUCCUUGGAGACCCUCCUAAGACCAGGUUCUGACUCUCCUUCUAAAGACUGGAGUUACACAGACCUAACCCUCCCACAGAGAUACCCGUGGCAUUAAUCCCAGGCUGAGCCCUCUUUGGACCCCUCUGGGGACUGAAAAGAAGAGGAUCUGUAUCUCCUGGUGCAUCUGGACCACAGCCAUCCAAGGGACUCCAGUCUCCUUUUGUGUUUACUAGCUGUAAACCAAGGGCGAUCAUUUACCAUGGGAGCUGGGAACGUGACUCAGCUCAGGGUUGGGCAGCCCCAGGCUCUCUGACCAGCCAGCCCCUGGUGCCUGGCCCAUGAAGGCCUGAUCUCAGAGUUUGCAGCGUGCCCCCUGCCCAUCCUCAAAGAACAGAACUUCUUAGUCCCUCUGAGUUUCUGUUUUCUCCCCCAGUCUUUGAAAAGCUGUGGUGGGAACAGAACACUUCAUUCAAAGGAAGUCCUGAAAGGCCCUUUUGUGGUGCAUCCGGUCCAGGAACCAGCUCAGUGUUCUCUGAAGGAAAAAAGACUUGAACAAAAGCUGGCAUCCUAGGAACCCUGGAGGUCAGGCCCUCGUUAAUUAGCCACUGGCGUCCCUGCCUCAUUAGUAUUCAAACACAGGCAGAACACAGCUUCUGCCCCUCCAAGCUCUCCCUUGAACCUCCUCCAUGCAGAGAUUGAUGUUAGAGGUGGGAUUUUUUUUUUUUUCCCUCCAUCACUUGCAAGAUAUCCACAGAUAGGGGCUUUUUCUACCUCAGGACCUGGCUGAGGGGGGACAUGGCCAGGUUGUCAGUCAUUAUCUUGAUCACGCCCUUCGUGUAGACAGAGCCCCAGCUUUGGAAGCAAAUGGACCGAUGUUCAGAUUCCCCACUCUACCCCUUUCUGGCUGGAUGACCUUAGCAGAUGACCUCUCGGGGCUAGUGUUCUCCCUACAAUUAUGGGUUUACAAUAGUACCUAUUGUUCAAGGAAGGUGCUGGUGUCUUGGGACACAGAAAAUGUGCAGAAAGGGGAUUUGGAGAUCACAGAAGAACAGAAUGAGAAGGGAAUCAUUUGCCAGGCUUUUCCUUAGAGGAGAUCAACCCAAGGAAAUAACCACUGAGUUCUAAAAAAAAAAAAAAAAAAAAAAAAAUGCAAUCAAAUCCUAAUACUUCCUUUUGAGUUGAAAUUCAGAAACUUCUUAUUAUGCUAUUACCUUCAAGGUAAACAAUUAAAAAGUAAAAGAAAUAAAAAAGUAAAUCCUCGCCCUCGCUGCUAAGGCCCCAUGUGAGCAGGCCUCUGUCCACCUCCUUGUCUCCAAUCUACCACUCAACCUUGGACUGUGGGGUGUCGGCGGGGGCAGGGGCACGAGGGCAGGCCAUCCCGAGAUGGGCCACGUUGGCAUGAAGAUUACUUUGAGCUGAAGGCAAUCAAGACCCUAUGGGCUCAAUAGAAACUUUUGCCCCUCCUUUAACUACCCAGAAAAAUCUAAAUUGGGGGUGUUUUCCAGAACAAGGGUUAUUACCAGAGAUAAAUUUUAUCUGAGUCACCCAUCUGUAUGGCAGGGGCAACAUCUAAUUACCGAACAUCUGCUUUUCUUCUUAUCGCCCUUUGAAGUGCACUCCUUUGCCCUGAAGUCCCAGGCCCCUACCCACAUCUCUUCAGUUCAGGAUGACAAACGUACCUCAUUUUGCCUGACCGUUUUGGGAAUUCCCAUGUGUGUGUGGAUUCCCCAUCUGUACGUCAUUAAAUUUAAUUUCCUCCUA